rnacentral:lncRNA from 1 species
UCUAUAUCGAUGUUUACACGCUGUCCUUGAGAUGGUUACGGAUUGCGCAUCUAAAUCACCAAGUAGUCAUUAGCGUCCCAGUGAAUUUUCUGGUAUUAUAUUGAACAUAUAUUAGACAGCCAGUGCCUCACAGCACGGAACCGGAAACUGAAUGACUGAUUCUAAAUAGGGACAUUGUGAGAGCCAUUCGUAGACGCGUACUUGCGUUCUCCGACGUUCUGAACAGCAUGUGCUUUUUGGGUGUUUUGUUCUGUUGACCUGGAGUCAGUCCCCGCAUGAAUCCUGCGGCCCCACUAUAUGAAGUCGCUGAAUCUCGGAGGGAAUAUCUAGGAACAGAUUCCCCCCUGUCUCCUGCUUCGAUCUCCUUACACUGCUGCAGGGGCUUGUCCGUCUUCCCUUGCACAUGUGUGUCUGAAGCGACACUUUUUAGCAUCGAACGCAGAUUCCCGUGCAUCUACCGUGUAGCCAAUACACUAUGGCGCUGUUUCUAGAUCUGACUGAGGGAAUGCAGUUUAAGGAAACGAGCGGCAUGUCCGAGCAGCUUCGUCGCGACAGAUCUGAUGCUGCUGUUGUCAGUACGCAAGUCUUCCUCGACACCCGCUUCUACUGGUGACCUCGGUAAUCUCUCGCGUUGAGCGCCUUCACUUUCCCUCUGGUGACAUGUUGUCGAUCGUCCGUCCACGCAGGUAGGCGAUGUGAAACUCUCUCGGUCAUCGGCGCACGCUGCGUAGUUUUGCUAUACUCCCGGUGCAUCUUGGUAGGCUUGUAUGUCUUAAACUUUUCCAGAAGGAACCAUCGUACUCCGACGGUACGGCAGGACUAAAUGGAGUGACAAAAAGUGUCCUGAAAAGGGAAACUGCUAGCACACAUGUGGUUGUGCCACAACGUCCGCCUCGCUCAGAGAACCACACGAACUUUACCUGUUACUCAUUAUCAUUCGGAGUACAGCGAUAUUGGUCCUGAAGACAGGUUGUCUCUGAA